GGAUGUAGCUCAGUCAGUAGAGUGCUUGCCUCGUAUACACAAAGCCGUGGGUUCAAUCCCCAGCACCA
rnacentral:tRNA from 1 species